rnacentral:rRNA from 1 species
CAAUAGCGUAUAUUAAAGUUGUUGCGGUAAAAAAGCUCGUAGUUGGAUUUCUACCGAAGAUAGCCGGUCGGGUCUUCGACCUUGUAUCUGGUUUUGUCUUUGGUAUCCUCAUAGGGAACGUUUCUGCGCUUUAUUGCGUGGUGCGGUAUCUAUGACUUUUACUUUGAGGAAAUUAGAGUGUUCACGGCAGGCAAACGCCUUGAAUAUAUUAGCAUGGAAUAAUAACAUAGGAUCUUCGUCCUAUUUUGUUGGUUUCUAGGGCUAAGAUAAUGAUUAAUAGGGAUAAUUGGGGGCAUCUGUAUCAACGCGUCAGAGGUGGAAUUCUUGGACUGCGUUGCGACAAACUACUGCGAAAGCAUUUGCCAAGGAUGUUUUCAUUGA